rnacentral:tRNA from 1 species
AACUAAUAAGCUUUAAGAAGCAUAUGUUUUGAAAGCAUAAGAUAAAGAUAGAAUCUUUAUUAGUUU